GGGCCGUUAGCUCAGAGGGAGAGCGCUGCCUUCACACGGCAGAGGUCGUUGGUUCAAGUCCAACACGGCCUA
rnacentral:tRNA from 1 species